rnacentral:rRNA from 1 species
AGCAGCCGCGGUAAUUCCAGCUCCAAUAGCGUAUAUUAAAGUUGUUGCAGUUAAAAAGCUCGUAGUUGAAUUUCGGGAUCAAAUUGUCGGUCGUGCCUCGGUACGUACUGGUAUUAUUGGUUCCUACCUUCUGAAGAACCGCGAUGUCAUUAAUUUGGUGUCGUGGGGAAUCAGGGCUGUUACUUUGAAAAAUUAGAGUGUUUAAAGCAGGCUCGCGCUUGAAUACAUUAGCAUGGAAUAAUGAAAUAGGACGUUUGAUUCUAUUUUGUUGGUUUCUAGGAUCGACGUAAUGAUUAAUAGGGAUAGUUGGGGGCAUUAGUAUUCAAUUGUCAGAGGUGAAAUUCUUGGAUUUAUUGAAGACUAACUACUGCGAAAGCAUUUGCCAAGGAUGUUUUCAUUAAUCAAGAACGAAAGUUAGGGGAUCGAAGACGAUCAGAUACCGUCGUAGUCUUAACCAUAAACUAUGCCGACUAGGGAUCGGAUGAUGUUAAUUUUUAAUGUACUCAUUCGGCGCCUUACG